GGCGGCGUGCUUAACACAUGCAAGUCGAACGGUGAAGCAGAGCUUGCUCUGUGGAUCAGUGGCGAACGGGUGAGUAACACGUGAGCAAUCUGCCCCUGACUCUGGGAUAAGCGCUGGAAACGGCGUCUAAUACCGGAUACGAGCUGCGAAGGCAUCUUCAGCAGCUGGAAAGAAUUUCGGUCAGGGAUGAGCUCGCGGCCUAUCAGCUUGUUGGUGAGGUAACGGCUCACCAAGCCGUCGACGGGUAGCCGGCCUGAGAGGGUGACCGGCCACACUGGGACUGAGACACGGCCCAGACUCCUACGGGAGGCAGCAGUGGGGAAUAUUGCACAAUGGGCGAAAGCCUGAUGCAGCAACGCCGCGUGAGGGACGACGGCCUUCGGGUUGUAAACCUCUUUUAGCAGGAAAGAAGCGAAAGUGACGGUACCUGCAGAAAAAGCGCCGGCUAACUACGUGCCAGCAGCCGCGGUAAUACGUAGGGCGCAAGCGUUAUCCGGAAUUAUUGGGCGUAAAGAGCUCGUAGGCGGUCUGUCGCGUCUGCUGUGAAAACCCGAGGCUCAACCUCGGGCCUGCAGUGGGUACGGGCAGACUAGAGUGCGGUAGGGGAGAUUGGAAUUCCUGGUGUAGCGGUGGAAUGCGCAGAUAUCAGGAGGAACACCGAUGGCGAAGGCAGAUCUCUGGGCCGUAACUGACGCUGAGGAGCGAAAGGGUGGGGAGCAAACAGGCUUAGAUACCCUGGUAGUCCACCCCGUAAACGUUGGGAACUAGUUGUGGGGUCCAUUCCACGGAUUCCGUGACGCAGCUAACGCAUUAAGUUCCCCGCCUGGGGAGUACGGCCGCAAGGCUAAAACUCAAAGGAAUUGACGGGGACCCGCACAAGCGGCGGAGCAUGCGGAUUAAUUCGAUGCAACGCGAAGAACCUUACCAAGGCUUGACAUAUACGAGAACGGGCCAGAAAUGGUCAAC
rnacentral:rRNA from 1 species